UACGGAGGGUGCGGGCGUUAUUCGGAAUUACUGGGCGUAAAGCGCGUGUAGGCGGGGAGGCAAGUCUGAUGUGAAAGCCCCGGGCUUAACCUGGGAAGUGCAUUGGAAACUGCAUUUCUUGAGUGCUGGAGAGGAAGGGGGAAUUCCCGGUGUAGAGGUGAAAUUCGUAGAGAUCGGGAGGAAUACCAGUGGCGAAGGCGCCCUUCUGGACGGCAACUGACGCUGAGACGCGAAAGCGUGGGGAGCAAACAGG
rnacentral:rRNA from 1 species